rnacentral:rRNA from 1 species
GACAGAGGGUGCAAACGUUGUUCGGAAUUACUGGGCGUAAAGCGCGUGUAGGCGGCUUGGCAAGUCGGGUGUGAAAGCCCUGGGCUCAACCUAGGAAGUGCACUCGAAACUGCUUCGCUUGAGUGUCGGAGAGGAAAGCGGAAUUCUCGGUGUAGAGGUGAAAUUCGUAGAUAUCGAGAGGAACAUCGGUGGCGAAGGCGGCUUUCUGGACGAUUACUGACGCUGAGACGCGAAAGCGUGGGGAGCAAACAGG